UAAACCAUUUCCCAAUCGUCUCUUUCUAUCUCUAUCUCCCUCUCUCUCCUUACCUCUCCUCAUCCUCUCCAGCGUACAAUUAAGUCCCCUCCUCUACCUCUCUUUAAUUUUUCUUUAUCUUCCCAUUCUCUCUCUCAAUCUCCCUAUCUUGCCCAAACCACCAUUCGGAGAGGUUGAUAGACCAUUAGCCAUUAAGGGCAUUGCUGAGGAUGUCAAUGUAGGUGAAUCUAGGUACCAUGGAUCAAGGCAGGCUCGAGGAUUUGUUGAUGAGGAGUCCCACGAAGAGGGCUCAGAGUACGAAUUGAAUAGGUCCGAUUAGCCUUGAGAGUUCCUUCUUUCCACCCUCUGGUAUGAUUGUUUUGUAUGUAAAUUGGGGAGACUGUAUUUUUUAAGUAUGGGGCCGGGGGACUUCCUCUGAUAAUUAGUAGUAAUAUGAACUUCUAAUUUUAUUUAUUAGCUUCUUAUUUUUUAUUUGCUUAGUUAGUAGAAUUAGUAGUAUAGUAUAUUUGUAUUAGUUUUAGUAGAUGAAUUUGAAAAAAAUCAAAUAAAUUCAAAAUUCAAAAAAUCUAGAAAACCUUUGGACUUUUCCCGACGAUCGAUCUUUUGGACAACUUUAUUGAGGGAUUAAUGUUCAAUGAAAAAUUCAAAAAUAUUUUCUUUUUUUAGUUAGUCGUAGGUAGAUAAUACUCCCUUGGUUUUUCUUUAAGAUCGGUUUUUUUUUCAAGAGAUGUAACUUGAGCCAACUGAGGAAAAAAACUUAGUGUUCCUAUAUGCCUUUUGACAUGUUUGAUGCUAGCAUAGUUAGGACAUAGCAUGCAAUUUACCUUCAUGGCAUGUUUUGAGAUAAAAUUGAUGUCGUGAAUAAAUUGAAUAGCCUAUUUGUGAUGCCUUCUCUAUGUUUCUUGACUCGUUGUUCAUGUAGUGCUUUAUUGCUUAAUAUGUCUUGACUUUGUGAUUACUUGCUUUAACUUGAGAGUUGAAAUGGAAUCGCCUCGACGGCAGUCAUGUGCAAUGUGUGAUGUGGGCUCUUGAUUAUAUUUUGUGCUAUCCUAUGUUAGUCUAGAACUUUUUUCGUGUGUUAGUCGAAGCAAAAUAAUUAUGUUUUGUGAGUCUAGGAUAUAACAUAGGUAUCUAUUUGAUUGUUCAUGGAGCUAUUACGCCACCAUAUAUAAAAUUAUCCUUUAUUAGGCCAUUUGAGCAUAUAAACUUUUUCUUUGGCACCCAUAUUACAAGAUGGUUUCCAUUUUUUCUUAAUUGAAUCUUGUUGAACCAUGGCAUUCGAAAGCAUUUAAGUCGCUAGAAGAGCAAGGUCAGAGUAUCUUUUAAGUGGAUCCAUAGAAAGGCCAAAAUUUGCACGUAUGUUUUGAAAGAUCAUUAGACGGGAACACUAAAUUUAUGGAGAGUGUUGGAAAAAAAGUAGAAAAUGAAAAUACAAAAAGAGAAGAAAAAUGAAAAAUAGAAAAUACAGCUCUAAUUCGCCUUAAUUCUGGCUAGUGAAUGUAUAGAUGUGCUUAAAGAAAAAAGGGCCAAAUUGUGUAUGAUUUCAUGGAAUAAAUUUGGUAUGAAGAAUGGAUACUUGAAAGUUAAGUGUAGUGGAUUAAAGUUCAUAGGAGGGUUAGUCCCUAUACCCAAAAUAUAUCCUACCUAUCCCUUAGCCAAUAUUACAACCCGUAAUGACCUAGUUGAUCCUAGGUUUCGCGAGCUUAAAUUAAUAGAGACAUACACUACGGGCAAGCCUAUGGUACGACCUUGGGAUGCACAUGAAAUUCUUUGUGAGAGUGAGUGAUUUCUUUUAUUCAUGAUAUCCUUGAAUUCACAUUUGAAACUCUUGAUUUGAGUGUGUACAACAUAUUCUCUUGUUCUUUGGCGAGGGAACAUGAUUAUUAACUGUUUGUGUAGCUUGGCAAGCCAUCCCUCAUGUGUUGUUGAAGUCAGCCCCUAUUUGGCAAGCCAUCCCUUACGGAUUCUCGAAGCUAUCUUGGCAAGCCAUCCCAACUAGGUUGUGAAGCCAUCCUUUUUAGGGAACUUUCGUAUCUAUAAUUUAGUUUGUUUUCUUUGGAGUCUCUUACUCUAUUUGGAAAUUAUUUGCCAACUGGAAUGGAUAGAUGACAUUAUUAAAUUUCUCUUGCUGGGUGAAUGCAUAAGUUAAGAGUGCUUAUUGGAGAUGAGUCGGUCUUUGAGGUUGGGUGGUUAUGGGAAUGUUGUUUGAAUUUGAAUAUACUUCAGCAUGUGAAAGUUGGGAUGUACUUGAAUGCAUAUGCAAUGGCUUAAUUGUUGGUAUCAACCAUGAUCAUAGGUAUAAUACAUUGAAUUUCUAAAUGUUCCUCCAUUGUAUGAUAUCUUGUGUGGCAUUGUUGGGUUAGUAAAGUGUUAGCUUGCUCGAGGACAAGCAAGAGCUUAAGUCUGAGGUGGCAAUGUUUGGUUAAAAAUUUCAUAUUUUUUGCAUGUAAUUUACCCUGCAUUAUGCCUCGAUCUAGUUCACUAUGGAAUGAAUAUUUAUGAAUUGAGCAUAAUAAUGGUGCUUAUAUGUGUAGGAGGCAAUUGGAAGUGAUUUAAAAAUAUUGUGAGCAAAUUAAAGCCAAAACGGAUGAAAAUUGAGGGAGUAUGACUUUGGUAUCAAGUUGGAGUCUUGCCACUUUCAAAAUGUAGGGAAGCAGAGCACAAAAGUGGGAAAUUUUGGGCGCCCAUCAUAGGGCCAGGCGCCUCCCACGUCGCUAUUGGUAGCAUAGUAGAAAGUUGGCGCACAACUUGGCUCCAGACACCUCUCAUGAUGCCUUAGAGGUAAUGUUUUGCAGUAGUAGUCUUAGUGAAAAAAACCAUCAUUUUUUAUUAUCUUGGACAAUUAAUUAUUUUUAGUUAGCUUAGGGAAGUAAACAUACCCAAUACAAUAUUUUGUCUUAUCAGUUACUGUCACGAUCCAAAAUCCCACCUCAGUUCGUGAUGGCGCCUAGCCGUACUUGCUAAGCAACAUAACUCGCAACUAAUAGAAUAUAAUCCAAUUUUCUUUAUUUAACAUAGUUAGAUAAUAAAUAAAAGCAAGAAUAAUCUCAAACAGUAAAAUAUCUCAUACAAGUAAAACAUGGUCUAAACACGUCCAAAACAAUACUACCCCCAAGAACUAAGUGACACGAGUACACGAGCAACUACAUAAUAAGUACAAGUCUGAAUACUUGAACUGUCUGUGAGAAAGAAAAUAAACAGGAGAUAAAUAAGGACAAGGACUCCAUCUGCUGCGGAUCGAAGCAGUGUAGUAGCUCACCAUGAAAGCCCUAAUAACACGCUCCUACUCAGCUCAAAAGGUAUCAUAAUGCCACUCUCAAAACUUGUACAAAUAUGUACAAAAACUUACUAUAAGUAUACCACACUCGGUGCCAGUAAGUAUCAAGUCAAACCUCGAGGAAGUAGUGGCGAGAUUAGAUGCAUCCGAAUACUUACAACACAAAAACAAUACAAGCCUGAAAUUGGAACAGUAUAUAUCCUCAUGAUCAAUAGGAAUAAAGAUAUAAAAAUAUUCGAAAGACCUAAAGCAUGCUUUUUCAAUUUACAGAUAAUCAUAAUGUUGCCCAACUAUGGCAUGUAAAACUGGCAUGCUUCAAUCAACAGAGUCGAGGCUCCCAACUAGUAUGUAUGCAUGGCGUGCAAUAGUUAACAUUUAAAUGAAUGCUUCUAAAUGAAUCCAUAAUAUGAAUGAGCUCAAACCAUUAUAAGAUCCAUGCACCCCGAUACAAGAUCCAUGUAUCCCGAUACACAAUCCAUGUAUCACAACAACCCAAUACAAAUUCAUGUCGACCCAGUACAAAAUUCAUGUACCGACCACACUUACAUGGCCUAAAGUAACAUGGGCAAUCACCUAUCUCCAGAGGGACGAUACCAAUCCAAGCACAAAGAGAGGCAUAUAGAAAACCCUCAUAAAUAGAGUUAUAAUUUUUAAUCUAUCGCUAACAAAUAGUAGCUUGUAUCAGGAGUGAUGGUACGUCUUUAAUGCUAGACUCUCGAACUCCAUGACUGCUCUUUUCCAAAUAUCUACAUGCAAGGUGGAGAAAUAUAGUAUGAGUACAACUGACCCCAUAUACUCAGUAAGUAUCUUCACUAACGUCGGUGAAGUAGUGACGAGGUGUUUAAGUCAAAAGAUACUCACUAAUAUAACCUAUUUAGUUAAAUUUGCAAUAGAAACAACACUAGAAAUAACAAAGUAGAUUACAAAAACAAUUACGAAAAGUAGUAAAUGAUUAACUAAAAGAGGUAACAGUCAGUUUUCUCAAUAUCACAACCAAUCCUUUUCUAACAUCUCAAUUCAUAAGUUUAAAGCAAUAACCACUAGAACAACAUAGUAAACCCACGAAUCUUCAUAAUAUGAGGAAUAUGCUCAAUAUAUCAAUUAAAUGGCACGACAACACUCUUCGUGCAUUUAUCUCAUCCUCACAAAAUAUAUGCAUGCAUAUCAAAUUAAUUGGAAUGGAAACACCGUUUGUGGAUUUAUCUCAUCCUCGCCAAGAAUAUGUAUAAUAGUACCAACCAGAUAGAAGGAAUACCAACAACAGUAACAACGAAGUAGAAGGUACACAGAUAACAAUAACAAAUAAGGCAUAAGUGUAUGGAUAACGGUAACCGACAAGGUAGGAUGAACAUAAGUAACGAUGGAAAAUAAGAUAGGAUAACAUAGAUUUCAAUAACAAACAAGGUACAAGUUUAAAUAAAACAACAAUAAAUGAGCGAAGACAUGGAUGUAAAUAUAACAAAUAAGAAGGAAGCAUGAAUGUAACAAAAUAAUAGAUAGAAGGCAUGGAUAGAACAAUAACAAAUAAGGUUAAAUGCAAAGACAUGAUAACAAUAAGCAAUACAAAAAGAAUAGGUGCAACAAUAACAACUCAAGAUAAAGGUAUGAAGGUAUACGCUAUGGAUAAAUAAUAAAAUAUAAUGCAUGUCUCUCAUCUUCGGCUGCAAGGAAUAACCUUCAUGCCAUCAAAUAUCAUCCUCACAUUAUAAUAUAAAAACAAUAGCAUGGUGUUACUCUUCGUGUUUUACUCUCUUCCUCAUAUGAGAAUGUAAAAACAAUGGUCUACAUCACCCUUCAUGUGUUUACUCGCUUCCUCACAUGACAAUAUAAAACAAAUGACAUGACAUCUCCCUUCGUUCUUUAUACUCUUCCUUACCAAGCACAUAUACAUCAAAACAAGUAAGUUAGGAAGCAUAGAUAACAUCAAGAAGAGAGGUUAAGCAAAAUAUACCAUAUGAACGACACUCACGUCUUUUGCACCAGUAAAAAAAUCAAUAAACUUCAAGAACCCCGUGUUUCAAGUACCUCAAUAAAGCUCAAGCAUGAUAUUCAAUAUAAGUAUGGAACUCAAGUAUCUCAAGAAUAACAGACAUAGAUAUGUAUUAGUAAUUUUGGUAUAGUUAUGAACGAAUUUAGCACAUCAAUAUUUUCACAAAGAGUCUAUCAAAUUCAAUCAAGUUGUAGUAAGCUAAAGCAUGGUCUUUGACAUUACAAUUGUACUCAUACUAUUAUAAAAGUCAAGUAAAACAUUAGGCAAGAAAAUCACGAAGUCCAACAAGGCACUAAGAAUCAUAUAAUCUACCCCAAAUAUGAAUAACCCUGACACAUGCAUAUACACCCAUCACCUUGCAUAUACAUUAUCCACGCAUAUAGCAAACAUUAUCAUUUAAUUAGGAAAACAUCUCUCAACAAAGCUAGGCAAGAUACUUACCUCUUUCUGGAACACAAUAAACUAUCCAAGAUGACUUUUUUUUAAAGCAAGUCUCCAAACCAAUCAAAUCUACUCAAAUAUCGUUCAAAUAAUUCAAAACAAGCUUUAGAAACUACCCUCGAAUGAAAAAGGUUAAAUCUUUAACAUAAUUGGAAAAGUCAAUAUGGGUCCACGUGAUUGAAAUAUGAGAUUAAGACCAAAUCCUGAUUACAUAUUCACCCUAAGCACAUGUAUGUGAUUUGUUUCGAAAUUCAACCUCAAUUCGGGGUCUAAAUCUCAAUUUUACAAGCUUUCUAAAUUCUACCCAAACUCUCCAAUUUCUACUUUAAAAUUCAUAGAUUUGAUGAUGAAAUUCAUGAAAACGAUUUCUACAAACAAUUCGGUCAACCAUCAAUCAUAGAUAAUUCAGAUUAACAGGUGUAAUUACUGUCAUGACCCAAACUGAAGGGCCAUGACUAGCACCCGACCACACUUGCCGAGCACCAAUGCACAUUUCAUCUAACCUUCAUUAUUAUCUUUUAGGGCUGACGAGAUCAAUAUAAAUGGUAGACCUAGAUCAUAGACAACCAGCAAUAAAAUAUGACGGCAUGAACAUACAUAGCAGGGGAUGACCAGACAAUCAAGAAACUACAUAUAAGGUAUGAGCUACCACGCUACUAUGAAAGACUAUACAACAAAAACUAGCCGACAAGGCAUACCAAACUAUACAUGAGCCGACACCUGUCUAUGAGCCUCUAAAAGAACAUAAGUGUUGCAACAUAGCCGGAACAGGGCCCCGACAUACCCAUAAUGUCUAUAACAAAAAUUGCAUACCAAGACCAAGGCAAGUCCGGAGAANNNNNNNNNNNNNNNAACUCGUUUGACUUUAAGACUUAUGAUACGGAUAUUAUAUGAUUAAAAUACCUUAAUAAAUGACCUCUUGAUUGUAUUAAGCACUAUUAGAUUACCUGAAAUUACGAGUUACAACAUCCUUGAUUCGUUUAACUUCUAAUACUGGUUAAUCACCCUUAUACACUCUUGUAUCACUUAAGACCAAUAGGAUUGACUUCUUAUCAUCUCAAAGAUAAUUCCUUCUUGGAUUUAUGUUAACUAAUAUAUGACAUGAACUAACACAUGUGGAUAUGGGUUGUAACAAUUACGAACCCAAAAGGAUUAAUAAUCCGACCACAAACCCCGAAUAUCCAUCUCAUUUAAUUAAAAUUCAACCACAAUAGCUUUCUUCUUAUUAAUUUAGUUGUUUACUUGUUUAAAUUUCACAAUAGUAGUCCUAGUAGAAAAAACCAUCACUUUUAAUUAUAUUGAAUAGUUAAAUAAUUUUAGUUAACUUAGUUAAUAAUUAUUCCGAGUCUCUAUGGGUUCGACAUAGGACUUUCAAGUCACUUUAUUACUUGGCGGCCACGUAUACUUGCGUGUACUACGGUAACCAACAAAUAUUUGGUGUCGUUGUCAGGGACUUAGCAAUUGAUAGUUUAAUUGAGUUAAUUUUAUAAGUUUCCUGUUCAUAUUUUGACUUGUUUUAUUUACACGAUCUGUCUCACGUACUUGUGAAAUAAAUGUCAGAGAAGAAGGAUGAGGGUAAAUAUAAACUUGAACCCUUUGAGAAUAAACAUGAGACACUCUUCUACCUAAAUAAAAAAAGCAACAAAAGAAGCAAAAGAAGCUAAAGCACAACAAGAGCGGCAACAUAGGUUAAGGAAACCAAAAAUCAAUAAGCAAUUGUGGAACUUUCAAAAUAUGAAAGGAUGACAGACAAUCAAGAACUACCAGGGAUCGCAGCUACAAUGCGUAGCCUUGGAAAUGUGACACAAGCCAUUAUCAAGCCAACCAUCACCGGCCAUUUUGAGCUAAAAUAAUACAUGGUGCAACUCCUACAAUACCAAGGUCAAUAUGUAUAGUUGCC
rnacentral:lncRNA from 1 species